UUACUACUCCCUCCGUUCGAAAUUACUUGUCUUGAAAAUGGAUGUAUCUAGAACUAAAAUACAUCUAGAUACAUCCAUUUUCGCGACAAGUAAUUCCGAACGGAGGGAGUAGGAA
rnacentral:pre_miRNA from 1 species